GAGUUUGAUCCUGGCUCAGAACGAACGCUGGCGGCAUGCCUAACACAUGCAAGUCGAACGGGAUCCAGGCUUCGGCCUGGUGAGAGUGGCGGACGGGUGAGUAACGCGUGGGAACCUGCCCAAUGGUCUGGGAUAACCGCGGGAAACUGCGGCUAAUACCGGAUAAGCCCGAGAGGGGAAAGAUUUAUCGCCGAUGGAGGGGCCCGCGUCCGAUUAGGUAGUUGGUGAGGUAACGGCUCACCAAGCCGACGAUCGGUAGCUGGUCUGAGAGGAUGAUCAGCCACACUGGGACUGAGAUACGGCCCAGACUCCUACGGGAGGCAGCAGUGGGGAAUAUUGGACAAUGGGGGCAACCCUGAUCCAGCAAUGCCGCGUGAGUGAUGAAGGCCUUAGGGUUGUAAAGCUCUUUUGGCGGGGACGAUGAUGACGGUACCCGCAGAAUAAGCCCCGGCUAACUUCGUGCCAGCCGCCGCCGUAAU
rnacentral:rRNA from 1 species